rnacentral:rRNA from 1 species
UGGGAACGUGCCCUUUGGUUCGGAACAACUCCGGGAAACUGGAGCUAAUACCGGAUAAGCCCUUCGGGGGAAAGAUUUAUCGCCAAAGGAUCGGCCCGCGUCUGAUUAGCUAGUUGGUGAGGUAACGGCUCACCAAGACGACGAUCAGUAGCUGGUCUGAGAGGAUGAUCAGCCACACUGGGACUGAGACACGGCCCAGACUCCUACGGGAGGCAG